UAUAAGCACAUCCCAAGUCAAAGUGUUGAUAACAAUAUACCUUUGUUCCAAUACAAGGCUAAUAGGCUCUUGAAGAAACAUUAAAAGGGAAGGUCAAUAGUGGAAUUGUUGGAUUGUUAUCCAAAACCCAGUUCAAAAGGUAAGAGAAAGGCAUCAAAGAAAUGAUUUGGGGCUUUCUUCAUCGCUUUUGACAAUGAUAUUGGCAAGAGAAAUGGUCUCCUUCAUAAGGUUCUAGAAGAUGAGGCAUGCACUCCACCGACUACUGAAGCUACAUUAACUCUUCGAAUUGAUUUAAAGCUCCAACAUUUUAAGAAGCUCUUAGAAGAAUGGGAGAAUACUGUAAAAACUCGUGACUUGCUCUCUCAUGAGCUUGAUGAGGUCCAAUCUUUGUGAUGGGAAAAAGCAACUUUAUCAACUUGAUGUGAAAACAUUUGAAGGCUGAAGUCAAGGUCUGCUUGGUGUAAAUUAGGUGACUGCAAUAAUCGAUUUUUUCAUAUAUAGUGUCCUAAUAGUUGGAGGAAAAACUUUAUUAUACACAUUGUUGAUGGAUUGGUGAGAGUACUUAUACUGAUAGUCCCUUUAUCAAAUGGGCUAUUGUUGAUCACUUCAAAGCAUAGUUUUGUCAAAAUAAUCCUUUCUUGAGAUAGAGACCAAAUUUGAGCUUUGUCACCUUAAGUCUUGAGGUUGCUUAUAUGUUGGAAGAGCCCUUUUCAUUGAAAGAAAUAAGAUAUGUAAUUUGGCAGUGUGACUCGUUAAAAGCCCCGAGGCUGAAUAGAGCCAGUUUCUGUUAGUAGUAUGCCCUAGAGCAUAUCAUUUAGUAUGUAUCUUGUAUAUGUUUUAUUAACAAAAAGACAUUUUCA